GGGCAAAAUCCAAAUUUCUCAUCCCUGGACUCUGGUCCAUUAUCCUUCGUCGUGCCUUGCCUGCCGCUGUGUUCCAUGGCGCCAGCGCUCCACCUUACCCCCCACCGCUUCCUCCUCCCUCGCCGUCCCGGCUCCGCUCGCCUCCUCCUCCGUGUCCACCUUAAACCCCUCUCCUCCUCGUCUCCCCACUCUCCUCCCCUCGAUGGGCCCUCGCUCCGCCGCGGCCGGGCCCUGCCGGACUACCCAGAUCCCUUCGCUCGCGCCUUCGACCUCGCCGCGCUCCGCGUUCCCGCCGCCUCCUGCGCGCCCCUCGAGCGCCGCCUCCGGGGGCACCUCCUCAAUUGGCCCCGCGUCCGCAACGUCGCUCGCCUCCCAAACGACCAGGGCCUCCUCGGCCUCGGCAUCUCCCUGCUGUCUCCUCCCCCGCGCCACCCCACAGCGGAGGAACCGGGCAGCCCCGCCCCGCCGGCCACCGCGGUGUUGCGGCGGGAGAAGCUUGCCCGCGAGUUCAACGCCCGGGGCUUCCUGCGGUUCCCCAACCUCGCCCGCCUCUCGCGGCCCAGUCCCGCCGCGCGGAAGAGGAGGGAGAGGAAGGGAGGCGGCGGCGACGAGGAGGCGACGCGGGAGCCUGACAGAGACAAGGCGUAUGUGGUGGAGGUAGUUAGGGAGGGGAUGGAGGACGACGAAGACGAGUGGUGGAAGGGGCUGGUCGGGGAGGAGGGCUUCGGGAGAGGCGCGUGGAGGAUAGGCCCCACCCGGCUGCUGAUGCUGGACGAGAGUUACGCCGAGAGGAGGGUCGAUGAGCUGCCAGAGGCUGUCAAGGGUGUGUUAAACCAUGAAACUCAACAGGAUGGAUUGUCUGCUUAUGAGCUUAUACGCUGUCAGCUAACCUUGUUCUAUAAUUAUUGGCCAAUGAAUGAGGUUUUAGAGGAAUUACUCCCUGAAGGUGUAAUAAUUCCUACAGGUUUUGAAACAGUAGGGCAUAUUGCACACUUGAACUUGCGUGAUGAGCAUCUGCCUUACAAGAAACUUAUCGCUCAGGUGGUUCUGGAUAAAAACAAGCCAAAAAUCCAAACUGUUGUCAAUAAGAUAGAUGCUAUUCAAAAUGACUAUAGAACUAUGCAACUUGAAGUCUUAGCCGGUAAUGAUUCCCUUCGUACGAUGGUCAUUGAGAGCGGCCUCCGUUUUCAAGUUGAUCUUGGUACAGUCUAUUGGAAUUCUAGAUUAGCCACCGAGAGGCAGAGGCUCGUCAAUGACAUCUUUAGAAACUCUGAUAUUGUUUGUGAUAUGUUCUCUGGGGUUGGUCCCCUAGCAAUUUCAGCUGCAAAAAAGGUCAAAUAUGUCUAUGCAAAUGACAUAAAUCCUACUGCAGUGGAAUACUUCAAGAGAAACAUGGUUCUUAACAAACUCGAAAGGAAAAUAGAGGUUUUUAACAUGGAUGCUAGAAGGUUUAUCAGUGCAAUAUAUUCAAGCCAGCAUGUGCAUCCAGUCACCCAAAUAGUAAUGAAUUUGCCCAAUGACGCCGCAGAAUUUUUAGGACCUCAACAUUUCCACAAGUUCUCCGGAUUCUGGAGACAGAUGUGUUCAGAGGGAUCUUGCGGAGUGGUCAAUCAGAACUGCAUUGUGUCAUGCCAAUGAUCCACGUUUAUGGAUUUUCCAAAGCAGAGGAUCCUGAACAUGACUUCCAUGGGAGGAUAAAUGUAGCAUUGGGGGAGAAUGUUGACAUUGUUGAAAUGCACAGAGUACGGCUUGUUGCACCUGGGAAAUGGAUGAUAUGUGCAUCUUUUACCCUUCCAUUCUCAAUUGCAAUUGCGGAGCCGAACUACAUUAGCUGUUGAAUUUUUGUACUCUUCCUACCUCCUCUCUCGUAGUAUGUCCGCAAAUUCUUCAAAGCAGAUUAUUUAGAUGGUGUCCUAGAUUCGGAAAGACUUGCAUGAAAGAGAAAGCGCUUCUGAUUGAAUUGUGAA